rnacentral:tRNA from 2 species
AACUGAUAAGCUAAUUUAAGCUAGUGGGCUCAUAUCCCAAAAAUAAGAAAAUCUUUCAGUUUAU